ACUCAAAUGAAUUGACGGGGGCCCGCACAAGCGGCGGAGCGUGCUCUUUAAUUCGUCGCAACGCGAAGAACCUUACCAGGGCUUGACAUGGCGCUGCAGGUCCGGGAAACCGGGCCGCCUUCGAGGGUGCGUCACAGGUGCUGCAUGGCUGUCGUCAGCUCGUGUCGUGAGAUGUUGGGUUAAGUCCCGCAACGAGCGCAACCCUUGGGUCCAGUUGCGAUUUUCUGGACCGACUGCCGGGAGCAAACCGGAGGAAGGUGGGGAUGAUGUCAAGUCAGCAUGGCCCUUACGCCCUGGGCGAGAAGCACGCUACAAUGGCGAGGACAAUGGGUUGCCAAGCGGCAACGUGGAGCUAAUCCCCCAAACCUCGUCUCAGUUCGGAUCGGGGGCUGCAACUCGCCCCCGUGAAGGUGGAGUCGCUAGUAACCGCAGGUCAGCACUACUGCGGUGAAUAUGUUCCCGGGCCUUGUACACACCGCCCGU
rnacentral:rRNA from 1 species